CGCCCCACGGGAAGUAUUACCGUGGGGCAGCAAGGUAGCGGUAGCA
rnacentral:sRNA from 12 species